CCUACGGGCGGCAGCAGUAGGGAAUCUUCCACAAUGGGCGAAAGCCUGAUGGAGCAACGCCGCGUGGGUGAAGAAGGUCUUCGGAUCGUAAAACCCUGUUGUUAGAGAAGAAAGUGCGUGAGAGUAACUGUUCACGUUUCGACGGUAUCUAACCAGACAGCCACGGCUAACUACGUGCCAGCAGCCGCGGUAAGACGUAGGUGGCAAGCGUUAUCCGGAUUUAUUGGGCGUAAAGGGAACGCAGGCGGUCUUUUAAGUCUGAUGUGAAAGCCUUCGGCUUAACCGGAGUAGUGCAUUGGAAACUGGGAGACUGGAGUGCAGAAGAGGAGAGUGGAACUCCAUGUGUAGCGGUGAAAUGCGUAGAUAUAUGGAAGAACACCAGUGGCGAAAGCGGCUCUCUGGUCUGUAACUGACGCUGAGGUUCGAAAGCGUGGGUAGCAAACAGGAUUAGAUACCCCUGUAGUC
rnacentral:rRNA from 1 species